UUCUUGGUUAGAGCAUUUUAAAUGUUAAAUUAAUGUGGAUUUAUACUUUGUUUCAACAAUAUUGUUACGGUAAACCAUGUACAGUCGAAGAAUAGUCUGGCAUGAGAUCUAACUCUAAACCUGGGUUGCCAUAAGUUAGAUUUACCCGGGCAGUUCCGGGUUUUUAAGGUGUCCGUGUUGGUCCGGAAUUUGAAAAAAUGUCCGAAAAAUCAAACCGUGCACUCGUGUAUGGUGGAUGUGAAUUGUGAUUUGUUUGACAUUAUCUUAUUAUGAUCAUGUGCGC